GGUGGAAUGGCCGAGUGGUUAAGGCGCCGUGUUUAGGUAAUCAUGCUUACAAACCGCGGUGGGAAACCUCGCGAGUUCGAAUCUCGUUUCCAUCA